UACAGAGGGGGCCAGCGUUAUUCGGAAUUACUGGGCGUAAAGGGCGCGUAGGCGGCACUGUUAGUCAGGCGUGAAAUUCCUGGGCUCAACCUGGGGACUGCGCUUGAUACGGCAGAGCUAGAGGAUGGAAGAGGCUCGCGGAAUUCCCAGUGUAGAGGUGAAAUUCGUAGAUAUUGGGAAGAACACCGGUGGCGAAGGCGGCGAGCUGGUCCAUUACUGACGCUGAGGCGCGACAGCGUGGGGAGCAAACAGG
rnacentral:rRNA from 1 species